rnacentral:rRNA from 1 species
GCAAGUCGAGCGCGCCCUUCGGGGUGAGCGGCGGACGGGUGAGUAACGCGUGGGAACGUGCCCCUUGCUGCGGAAUAGCCACUGGAAACGGUGAGUAAUACCGCAUGAGCCCUUCGGGGGAAAGAUUUAUCGGCAAGGGAUCGGCCCGCGUUGGAUUAGGUAGUUGGUGGGGUAAUGGCCUACCAAGCCGACGAUCCAUAGCUGGUUUCAGAGGAUGAUCAGCCACACUGGGACUGAGACACGGCCCAGACUCCUACGGGAGGCAGCAGUGGGGAAUCUUAGACAAUGGGCGCAAGCCUGAUCUAGCCAUGCCGCGUGAGUGACGAAGGCCCUAGGGUCGUAAAGCUCUUUCGCCUGUGAAGAUAAUGACGGUAGCAGGUAAAGAAACCCCGGCUAACUCCGUGCCAGCAGCCGCGGUAAUACGGAGGGGGUUAGCGUUGUUCGGAAUUACUGGGCGCAAAGCGCGCGUAGGCGGACCAUCAAGUUGGGGGUGAAAUCCCGGGGCUCAACCCCGGAACUGCCUCCAAAACUGGCGGUCUGGAGCUCGAGAGAGGUGAGUGGAACUCCGAGUGUAGAGGUGAAAUUCGUAGAUAUUCGGAGGAACACCAGUGGCGAAGGCGGCUCACUGGCUCGAGACUGACGCUGAGGUGCGAAAGUGUGGGGAGCAAACAGGAUUAGAUACCCUGGUAGUCCACACCGUAAACGAUGAAUGCCAGUCGUCGGCAAGCAUGCUUGUCGGUGACACACCUAACGGAUUAAGCAUUCCGCCUGGGGAGUACGGCCGCAAGGUUACAACUCAAAUGAAUUGACGGAA